rnacentral:lncRNA from 1 species
UAUCGUUAUUAUUUGAUUUUAGAUCUAACUUGAUUAAUCAAAUAAGAUUUUGCGACAAAGUGAUAAGUAACACAUAAUACCCCUCCCUUAGACGAUCCCCAAAAUUUUAUUUCAUAUAUGUAUUAAAGAGUUGUACAAACAUUACAAACAAAAUAAAGAACGAAUAAACAUAUAUAUAACAUUAAAAUGAACUUAAGCUUCGUCCACAAUUUCUUCUAGGCCACUCUUCAUCAUCUUGAACUCUAAGUUCAAAACCUACUAGAAUAGGUAAGGUAACAAAUAAACAAUGGAAAAAUAAUUGUAAUAUAGAGCAUUUAUAGUAACAAAUUACUCUAAUAUGUACAUAUAUAAACAACACAUAUAAGAAAUAAAAAGGGGUAAACCAUAGUCAUAGACAUUUUGCCACAUACAGGGAGAAAGGAUAAGGAAACUAAUUGGAUGCUUCCCAUUUUGUUCCCGACACACAACAAAAUAAUCAUGCAAAAGCGAAAUUUAAAAAUAAUAGAGGGUUGACCAAUAAUAAAUGCUAAUUCAUAAUACUAUCCGGUUAAGCAAACAAGAAAUGAUGGCAAUGAAAACAAGUUGAUCCAACUUUUGCUCGAACAAAAGCAAAGUAGCAAAGAAGAGCCCUUGAAUAUUUUUACCGGAAUCUUAUUUUUAUUUUGAAAGUAGCAUGAGAGCAAUGAAAGAAUUAAGAAGUCUAGCUCUUAUGUUAAGAGAGAGUGAAUGAGUAAUGAGAGAAACUUGUUUAUGAAAAGUGAGAAUGAGUUCCGUUCUAAGAGAAUGAGAGGGGGGGUCUAAUUAUAUAGCAAAGAGACGGAAACAAAUAAGGAAAAUAAAUAUUUAAAGGAAUUAAAAUAAAUACACUAAUUUCCAUGUUCAAAAGGAGAGCCAAAAUAAGAAAUAUUAAAAUAUACCAUUAUUAAAAUAAAUGAGUAAGAAUAAAAGUUAAGAAGGUAAUAUUGUUUUCCUUAAAUAAGGAAGAGCCAAAAAAACAAAUUUUAGAAUUAUAUUUUGUUAUCAAAUAUUAAACUUAUUAAGGAUGAAACAAAAACUUUUUUAAAUAAAGAAGAGCCAAAAAAUAUGUUUUAUACCAUAUACCAAUCAGUUUAAAUUCUUAUUACCCAAGCAAAUCAAAUAAAGAUAUUUUUACUAAAUCACUAAUAUAUACAAAUUGACAGAAUUUAAGAAAAGAAUAAUUAAGGAAUCAAUUAAAUAUUUUUUCUUACUUCCAAGGAGCCAAAAUCAGAUUUUAAAAUUACUAUUACUAUUCUAAUACCAAAUAUGAGCCACCAAAUAAGACAAGGGACAUAAUAAGGUUGCCAUAGACAAACAAAUAAGAAUUAAUCAAACCAAAUAUUAAACAAAGGAGGGAUUGGUUAUAUUUCUAAAUAGGAGAGCAUGAAACAACAAUUUUUUAAGUGAGUAAAUAUUUUUUCAAAGAACAAACAAGUAAGAAAUUUGCUAAUUUUACUGAAUGACCUAAAACUUAACUUAAGUUUAUUAUAACAUGUAUGAAAAGUAAUAGAAUAACAUACUUAUAAUUAGUAACAUUCAUGAAAAUAAAAUAUUCCCAAAUAAACAUUGAUCCUUUAUCGAAUAAUCUACACUAUAAUUAAGCAAGCUAGAUUUAUAAAUUAACAAAUAAGGGGAACAAUAUGCAAGGAUCGAAAAUUAAUGAGCAGAUUCUAAACCAACUUAGUGAACUAGACACUUGAAAUCAACAUAAAUGCAAAAAUUAAAAUAAUUUCAAUACCAAAAAUUUAAGUAUACGGAUCAACGCAUAUUUCAAACAUCAUAAGUUAUAAUAAACAUAUUAGAAUAAUAGCAACAUGUGAUCAAACCCAAAAAAUUAAAAAAGAGUUGGAUAAACGAAGUAAUAAUUUAAUUUAAAAAAUAUCAGAGACUGACCAUUGAGAUCAGUCACAUGACCCAAGCCCGAAUAUCGUCGGAGCUUGCUGUUGGAGCCAUUGCCGGAGUUUACUGCCUGUUGGUGGCGGCUCAUUGCCGACUGUUGUUGGUCGAUGGAAGCUUGCUGUUGUUCACUGAUCGGAGCAGUUGAAUGGGAGAGAGGAGGGGAGAAAAGAGGAACAAGGGAGGCGGCUUGCGACUGCGCCUGGCUCAUCGCCGAUUGCUACUGCCCACCGGUUGCUGGACUUCCUGGCGGCUGCCACCAACUGCCUUCUCCGGAAAAAAAAGGGGAAGAGAGAGGGAAAGGAAGAUCAAUAGGGAAGAGGAACGAAGGAGAAUGGAAGAAACGCGAGGGAUAUAAAGGGGCGGAGAGGAAGGCGAGGGGAGAGAGUCCACCGGCGAUUGGUGGUUUUCACCGGAAAGAAUGGGGAGAAAGAGAGAGAGAGGGACUGGCUGCUGCCAAAGAGAGGGGAGGGAGAAGAGUAAAAUUUUUGGGAUUAGCUCUUUUU